ACCCGGCUGGCUCAGUCAGUAGAGCAUGUGACUCUUGAUCUCAGGGUUGUGAAUUUAAGUCCCACAUUGGGUG
rnacentral:tRNA from 1 species